rnacentral:rRNA from 1 species
UGGGGAAUAUUGCACAAUGGGCGCAAGCCUGAUGCAGCCAUGCCGCGUGUAUGAAGAAGGCCUUCGGGUUGUAAAGUACUUUCAGCGAGGAGGAAGGCGUUGUGGUUAAUAACCGCAGCGAUUGACGUUACUCGCAGAAGAAGCACCGGCUAACUCCGUGCCAGCAGCCGCGGUAAUAAGGAGGGGGCAAGCGGUAAUCGGAAUUACUGGGUGUAAAGCGCACGCAGGCGGUCUGUCAAGUCGGAUGUGAAAUCCCCGGGCUCAACCUGGGAACUGCAUCCGAAACUGGCAGGCUAGAGUCUUGUAGAGGGGGGUAGAAUUCCAGGUGUAGCGGUGAAAUGCGUAGAGAUCUGGAGGAAUACCGGUGGCGAAGGCGGCCCCCUGGACAAAGACUGACGCUCAGGUGCGAAAGCGUGGGGAGCAAACA